AAAACCAGGGUGUUUUGGGCAAAGUGAUACUCCCUACUACUUCUGGGUGCAAGUGAUUCCUGGUCAGAUUAUUUCAGCUUGUUGCUUCCUUGGUGCACUCUGAACCAAGAUCUUCAUCAGCCCUGUGAAGACCCGGGACAGGCAACAGCCAUGCGAAUCCUGUACCUGCUUUUCCCCUUAUUCCUCUUGCUGGCUCAGGGUGCUGCAGGAUCCUCCCUGGCUCCAGGAAAUAAGGCACAAUGUCAUCGAGAAAAAGGCUUCUGUGGAUUUCUGAAGUGCUCUUUCCCCUAUGUCAUCAGUGGAAGUUGUUCAAAGUUUUUCUUUUGCUGCAAGAAAAUGUGGAGUUGAGCCCCUGAACUCUGUGAGCAGGACGUCCUCCUCGCUUCUGGCUCCUGGCACCAUGUCCUGAUGUCCUCUCUGCUCCCCGCCUCUGCCGUCCCCAGGGGCUGUGACAGCAGGAGUGGAAGCGCUGCUCCUGCUGGGUGCCCGUGUGCUGGGGACGUCCCGUCAUGGAGCCGGUGCUGCUGGGGCAGAGGCUGCUUUUCCCGCCUUGAAUAAAGACGAGCAAUUUGGCAUUGCA